rnacentral:rRNA from 1 species
GGGUUGUGAGGUUAAGCGAACAAGCGUACACGGUGGAUGCCCUGGCAGUCAGAGGCGAUGAAGGACGUGCUAAUCUGCGAAAAGCGCCGGUAAGGUGAUAUGAACCGUUAUAACCGGCGAUGUCCGAAUGGGGAAACCCGGUGCACUUCGGUGCAUCAUCGUUAGCUGAAUACAUAGGCUAACGAGGCGAACCGGGGGAACUGAAACAUCUAAGUACCCCGAGGAAAAGAAAUCAACCGAGAUUCCCCCAGUAGCGGCGAGCGAACGGGGAACAGCCCAGAGCCUGAAUCAGCUUGUGUGUCAGUGGAACGGUCUGGAAAGGCCGGCGAUACAGGGUGACAGCCCCGUACACGAAGGCACACAGGCUGUGAGCUCGAUGAGUAGGGCGGGACACGUGAUAUCCUGUCUGAAGAUGGGGGGACCAUCCUCCAAGGCUAAAUACUCCUGACUGACCGAUAGUGAACCAGUACCGUGAGGGAAAGGCGAAAAGAACCCCGGCGAGGGGAGUGAAACAGAACCUGAAACCGUGUACGUACAAGCAGUGGGAGCCUUCGUAAGAGGGUGACUGCGUACCUUUUGUAUAAUGGGUCAGCGACUUAUAUUCUGUAGCAAGGUUAACCGUAUAGGGGAGCCGAAGGGAAACCGAGUCUUAAUUGGGCGUUAAGUUGCAGGGUAUAGACCCGAAACCCGGUGAUCUAGCCAUGGGCAGGUUGAAGGUUGGGUAACACUAACUGGAGGACCGAACCGACUAAUGUUGAAAAAUUAGCGGAUGACCUGUGGCUGGGGGUGAAAGGCCAAUCAAACCGGGAGAUAGCUGGUUCUCCCCGAAAGCUAUUUAGGUAGCGCCUCGUGAACUCAUCUCCGGGGGUAGAGCACUGUUUCGGCUAGGGGGCCAUCCCGGCUUACCAACCCGAUGCAAACUGCGAAUACCGGAGAAUGUUAUCACGGGAGACACACGGCGGGUGCUAACGUCCGUCGUGAAGAGGGAAACAACCCAGACCGCCAGCUAAGGUCCCAAAGUCAUGGUUAAGUGGGAAACGAUGUGGGAAGGCCCAGACAGCCAGGAUGUUGGCUUAGAAGCAGCCAUCAUUUAAAGAAAGCGUAAUAGCUCACUGGUCGAGUCGGCCUGCGCGGAAGAUGUAACGGGGCUAAACCAUGCACCGAAGCUGCGGCAGCGAC